AAGUGAGAAUGCCGGUGUGAGUAGCGAAAGACGGGUGAGAAUCCCGUCCACCGAUUGACUAAGGUUUCCAGAGGAAGGCUCGUCCGCUCUGGGUUAGUCGGGUCCUAAGCUGAGGCCGACAGGCGUAGGCGAUGGAUAACAGGUUGAUAUUCCUGUACCACCUAUAAUCGUUUUAAUCGAUGGGGGGACGCAGUAGGAUAGGCGAAGCGUGCGAUUGGAUUGCACGUCUAAGCAGUAAGGCUGAGUAUUAGGCAAAUCCGGUACUCGUUAAGGCUGAGCUGUGAUGGGGAGAAGACAUUGUGUCUUCGAGUCGUUGAUUUCACACUGCCGAGAAAAGCCUCUAGAUAGAAAAUAGGUGCCCGUACCGCAAACCGACACAGGUAGUCAAGAUGAGAAUUCUAAGGUGAGCGAGCGAACUCUCGUUAAGGAACUCGGCAAAAUGACCCCGUAACUUCGGGAGAAGGGGUGCUCUUUAGGGUUAACGCCCAGAAGAGCCGCAGUGAAUAGGCCCAAGCGACUGUUUAUCAAAAACACAGGUCUCUGCUAAACCGUAAGGUGAUGUAUAGGGGCUGACGCCUGCCCGGUGCUGGAAGGUUAAGAGGAGUGGUUAGCUUCUGCGAAGCUACGAAUCGAAGCCCCAGUAAACGGCGGCCGUAACUAUAACGGUCCUAAGGUAGCGAAAUUCCUUGUCGGGUAAGUUCCGACCCGCACGAAAGGCGUAACGAUUUGGG
rnacentral:rRNA from 1 species